CCAAAUGAUUAAAAUGAAAAAAUAUGAAAAGAAAACAAUUUAUUUGUGUUUUACAAAGCCUCUCUUCCAUUACGCUUACUUGUUUAGCCUUUCUGCAAAUAUGUGUUGGCUAAACAAUGGCAUUAAGAGCUUUUCUGCUCCAGGUUUUUUCCACAACUCUUUACUUUUAUCGUGAUUUGCUUUUUGAUUUGAAAUUUCGUGUUUUUCUACUCACAAUUUCAUUUUCAAUUUACUCCACUGUGAUUUGCUUAUCGAUAUGAACUUUGGUGUUCUUCUACUUGCGAUUUUCUUUUCACUCUCUAAAUUUGCUUUCCGAUUUGAUGUCGCAAACACUUUUUGUGUUCUUCUACUUGUGAUUUGCUUUUCACUCUCGUUAUUUGCGGUUCCAUUUUCUCUUACGGUCUCUCGGUUUAACCCUUAUUUUCUCCAUCUCACGGGAUUUUGAUUUCGCGUGGUCAUGUGAUUUCCCAUUCUAUGCAGUCGCAUGAUUUUCAUAAGGUAUAUUGAUUUGUGUUUUUUCUCUCAAUUUUUUUUAUUCUCACUUUCUCUUUCAAACUCACUUUUUAUACUCACUUGACUUUAAGCCUUUUAGGUUAGCCGUUGUACAUUUUUUAGCUGAGAGUUGAUACAUUGAAUUGAUAUUAUUAGUUACUUGUGCUUAGGGACUGUGCCUUUUGGUUUAAAACUGCUUUUCAUUUGGUUAUGAAUUUGCCUACUUCCUGCGUGUAAUGCUAACAAAUAUUGUUGCUUCUCUUAUUUGGAAUUCAUUCUUGUGGGCAUGUGGAUAUGUUAGGUGAGUGUUUAUGCUUGCAAAUUUGAAGGUAUAGAUCUAUUUUAGUGACUUUGACUUAUCAUUUUUGUUGAAUUGUCAUUCAGAACGCCAUUAUUUGGUUUUGGAAUGUCACUUGAUAAUUGGUAUAGCAACCUCUCUAUUUUCUUUCACAUACUUAUUCCAUUUUGUGGCUGCAACUUUUGGUUGAUGACAGAGUAGUUAACAAUUGGUCAUUGUUAUGAAAUGGUAUUGGAACAGAGAGAAAAUGAUUAGUAUGUAUUUGGUCAUGGAUGCCACUGUAGUCAAGUGGGCUGUGAUGAUACUCAAAGAGGUUUGAUGAUGAUUAAUUUGAAUCAAAUACUUACAGGAAAUUCAAUUUCUUUUAGAUUUUUCUGGAAAGUUUGGUCUUGUUUUGAAGGAUCAAGAGUGGCUAAAAUCAUGAAUUAGAAUCUCUCAACCUUAUUUCUCAUCAUGAGCGAUUGUUAUAUGCUCUUAUUAGUUUCAAAUAGGUAAAAAGUGUGCCUCACAGGUUUCCAAAUAAGUUUCUUUUGUCGAGUGCAUGUACAAGUGCAUGUACGAGUAAGUUGAUAAGGCAAUCACUAGUUGCUACCGCCUACAACUUAUAGAUGAGUUAGUAUAACAGGCAGUGGAGCUGCAACUUUCAAGUUAUCUUGCUACCACUCUUGUUGUCUCUCUUGAUUUUUAUACUCGCUUUCUCUUUCGUAAGUUUUCGAGGCUUAAACCAUGUUGUUCCUUGCUGGUUACUGGUGAUUAGAAUGGAGUUUUCAUACCUUUUAGGAUUUCAUUUUUCUUUUAGUGCAGAGUUUGUUAUUAUCAUCUUCCGCAGACAUUCUUCAAUCUUGCUAGAGUAAUCUGAUAAGAUUUCAAAAGUGGCAACUCUCAUAUUGAAUUAACUCUAAUUUGGAAAAAGUUGGGGAAUGCAUGAAGUCGUUUUUUUGUUAUUUAUUUAAGUGAAUGUUGUUUUUCUAUAUAAAAGAAAUUAAUAUCAUCUCUGGUCUCAUUCUAUGAAUUCUUAUUGUAUAUUAUUAUUUAAAUAAAAGAUUUUCUCUUUUUUUUAGAGAGAAAUGAAAUUCUUUAACCCUUUUUAUUUGUUUUGGUGAAUAACCUUGUCUAUUUAUUAAACUCUAGCUCUAGAAAUGACUCUUCAACGUAUAAGUGUAGACACCAUUCUUAAUUUCUUAUCUUUUAGGAUUACAAUGGAGUUUUCAUACCUUUUAGGAUUUCAUUUUUCUUUAGUGCAUAGUUCUUAUCAUUGAUUUUAACCUCAAAGUUCUUUAGUAUAGAGUUUUUAUCAUUGAUUUUAAUAUGUACUUAUUAGUUAUAAAGUCUACUAGUUAUAUUAAUAUAAUAAAAUUAUUAUUUUGGUUCCAAGUUUCAACUUCAACUCACAAGCUCAACCACACCUUCAAGUUAUCAACCACUAUAUUAGAAGUAGGGAUGCUAAAAAAAACUAGUUUUAAAAAAAUACAUAUAACCAUAACUAAUUUUAUAUAACUAGUUAUAUAAUUGGUUUUACACAUAACUUGUUAUAUAAUUGGUUAUAUAACUAGUUUAUUUAUAACUAGUUAUAUACUCAUAACUCAUAUUUUAAAAACAAUAGCUAGUUAUAUCAAAUUAUAUUCAUAUUUUAAAAACUAGUUAUAGUUAUAAUACCUAUUUAUAAUCUAGUUAUUUAUUAGGUAUGGUUAUAGUUAUUUAAUACCAAAUUAUGAACACCCCUAUCUAGAAGCUCACUCCAAAAAUUGUCCUAAUUAUGAGAGGAUGUAUUACUGACCUUGCGAAUGGCUGUCCACAUAUUAGGUGUUCAGACCUCUAUAAAUGUUAUGAUAUCAUUGAUGCUGAAUGGCUUGUUCAUCUUCUCUCAAGACAUUGAAAUUGGUAGAUUGCUACAAAAAUUGGGGAUGGAACCACGUUAUCCUUAACCAAAUCUUAGGGUGGAUUGACAUGCAAUUGGGAGCUUCAUAAGGAGACACCAAUGUGCUCCUAUAAAUUUUCUUAACUGAAAAGACAUGCCUGAAGACUAUAUUACUGACAUGGUUGAAUUGAUUCAGGUCUAAUAUAAUACUUUAUAAGUGUUGUUUCAUUUUAUUUCUUGUAAAAUUUUGUUUUGUAAUGUCUAACAAAAUGGUCUUUUUCUGUUUGCUAAUGAUACUCAUAAUAGGGUAAGUUUCGAUUUGUUCUUGAAUUAACUAAACAAACAAAGGAAAUUUGAUUGAUGACAUGAGUUGAAAUGGAGACAAUUUAAAUAUGAAUUGAACAAAACUAAGGAGGAAAUGGUUGCUCACAUCCCAGAUCCAAUGAUUGAUCCUUUUCAAUAUCGUGAUUUAGUACAUUAUUGGUGUUCUGAGAAAUGAUAGGUAUAUAUGUACAUUGUCACUAACCUUUGGCUAACAUAACAAUUAUAUAUUAUAUGUUUAUUUUUAUUAUUGACUUUUUAUAUUUGUUGGUUAUAGAAAAUAAGCAACAUUAACAAAAGAAAUCGCUCAAAAUAUGAGGACUUGCAUUGCAUGGAAACCAAAAAUCUUCCAAGAUGGAUUCAUGAGAUGGUUUGCUUUUUUUAUAAUUUUUUAAUAUUUAAUUGCUUAGUAUAAAUAGGAUGAUUGAUUUUUUUUUAACUAAUGUUAAACAACAAAGGCUAAAGGAGUGCAACCUUCUUGGGCAGAAAUUUAUAUUGACACUCGAACUCAAAAAGAUGGAAGCAUUAUUAUUGAAAAGCCUGUUAUUGUAAUUGUAAGAAUUUAUUUUUAUUUCAAUACGUUCUCUUUGUUUUAUCUUUUCCUUUGGUCAAUUUUCUAAUAGAUGGUUAUGGUAUGAAGGGGAUUAACUAAUGAGGAGACGAGUUUUGUUUGGUGGCAUUGAAGUAUUGAGAAUAUAUAUUGAUGCAUGGUAAUAAUUUAUAAAGCGUAUUUAUGUAGGAUGAACUAAAAAAGAAAAUGGUUGAAGCAAGGAGUUCACAAAAUUUAUAAAGCAACCAAGAUUCUUCUGAUUGUACAAAUGAUAUAUAUUCAAAAGUCAAAGGACCUAAAAAAAGAGGAUGUGUGUGUUGUCUUGAUAAGCUUUUACAUCAAGCAAGUUUAUCUUAAACUCUUAUGCAGACAAUAGAAUUCAAAAUUUGGAGAAUUUGCUUGGAAAUCUUGUUGUCCUUAAAGUGUGAUUUGCAAAAGAUCUACAAAUUAAUCAAGUCUUAGAAGCUAUAGAUCAAGUGGUACAUACAAAUGGUUCUACUAGUAAAAAUCAUCAAACUACAAGCAAUCCUUACUAGAGGUGAGUUGAAAUUUAAUAAUUAAUAUUUUGAUAAUACCAUUCCAGUUAGCAUAUGAUAUAGCUUGUAGUGUAUCCACACUAUCUGUGUAUAUGGUAAGUUGUAGCUCCCCUUUACUUGGUUGUCUUCUCUUUUCCUUUAAGUCAUGUAUGUACCUAGACUUGUUGACUAAGGAAUAAAGUUUGAAAUUUUAUUGUUUUGAGAAUUGACUCAAACUAAUCAAGCUUUAUUAUGAUUUUUUCUGUUCUAAUAUGAUUUUUAAGCUUCAGGUUAGUCCAAGUUAAUUGAUUCACAUAUUUAUGCAAUUGCAGUUGAGAAGCUAUCACAUCUAUUUGCAUAAAAUAUUCAUUUGUAUAUGUUAAUAUGUAUUUCUUUAUGUCAUUGUAAUCACUAGCAACAAUGAAGAUAACCAAGUAAUGGUUUUGAGGUAAAGACAUUUUCUUCUUGCAUAUAUGCUUGAUCAUUUUAAAAAUUUGUUGCUUACUUAGUUCAUGAAUGUGUAGAUCGGUGAUUACAUGGAUGUGGCUAUUCUAUUGGUUAUCCUGAAUGUUGGAUAUCAUCUCGGCUUUGCUAAGGUGUUUUGGGACAUAAAUACUCUUUUUUGUUUUUGUGAUUGUGUUAUUUUAUUGAUGUGGUUAUUUUGUUGGUUAUUGUGGAUGUUAGAUAUCAUCUUGGCUUUGUUCCAAUGUUUUAAAACUACUAGAAUCUUUUUUUUAAAAAGUAAGACUACUUUAUUGCAUAGAUUAGUUCCUUGAACUUGUAAAAAGCUUAGACAAUCAAUUUAGAUACAAUUGAUAUUUAUUUUA